CGGNCCGCAAGGUUAAAACUCAAAGGAAUUGACGGGGACCCGCACAAGCGGUGGAUGAUGUGGUUUAAUUCGACGCAACGCGAAAAACCUUACCUACCCUUGACAUGCCAGGAACUUGCCAGAGAUGGCUUGGUGCUCGAAAGAGAACCUGGACACAGGUGCUGCAUGGCCGUCGUCAGCUCGUGUCGUGAGAUGUUGGGUUAAGUCCCGCAACGAGCGCAACCCUUGUCAUUAGUUGCUACAUUCAGUUGGGCACUCUAAUGAGACUGCCGGUGACAAACCGGAGGAAGGUGGGGAUGACGUCAGGUCAUCAUGGCCCUUAUGGGUAGGGCUACACACGUCAUACAAUGGCCGAUACAGAGGGCUGCCAACCCGCGAGGGGGAGCCAAUCCCAGAAAAUCGGUCGUAGUCCGGAUCGCAGUCUGCAACUCGACUGCGUGAAGUCGGAAUCGCUAGUAAUCGCGGAUCAGCUUGCCGCGGUGAAUACGUUCCCGGGUCUUGUACACACCGCCCGUCACACCAUGGAAGCGGGUUCCGCCAGAAGUAGUUAGCCUAACCGCAAGGAGGGCGAUUACCACGGCGGGGUUCGUGACUGGGGUG
rnacentral:rRNA from 1 species